rnacentral:tRNA from 1 species
GGGAAUGUGGCUUAGUGGUAGAGUGCUUGCUUAGCAUGCAUGAAGCCCUGGGUUCAAUUCCUCAGCACCA